rnacentral:tRNA from 1 species
GGUUAUAUAGCUCUAUAAGUUAAGCGUGUGUCUUGAAAUCACAAGAAAGAGGUUAAAACCCUCUGAUAAUCU